rnacentral:rRNA from 1 species
AGAGUUUGAUCCUGGCUCAGAAUGAACGCUGGCGGCGUGGCUAAGACAUGCAAGUCGUACGAAUACUUUAAUUGAGUAAUCGAGAAAAGUGUUAGUGGCGGAUGGAUGAGUAAUGCAUAGAUAACAUACCCCAGGCUUUGGAAUAGCUGCGGAACUUCGGUUCCUUUGCGAAAGUGCAGGUAAUACCAGAUGAUGUCCUUAAGUCGAAUGGCUUUUGGACCAAAGGGCUUCGGUACCGGCCUUGGAGUGGUUUAUGUCGUAUCAGCUAGUUGGUGAGGUAAUGGCUCACCAAGGCAUCGACGCGUAGCGGGACUGAGAGGUUGACCCGCCAUAUCGGGACUGAGACACUGCCCGGACCUCCACGGAGGGCUGCAGUAACGAAUCUUGCGCAAUGGACGAAAGUCUGACGCAGCAACGCCGCGUGUAGGACGAAGCCCCUCGGGGUGUAAACUACUGUCAGGGUGACGAAAGGUGAAGGUUGUAAUACCUGAACUUGAUCGAUCCCAAAGGAAGGUCCGGCUAACUUCGUGCCAGCAGCCGCGGUAAUACGAAGGGACCGAGCGUUAUUCGGAAUCAUUGGGCUUAAAGCGCACGUAGGCGGAAGGCUAAGUGCUUUGUGAAAUCCCCCGGCUUAACCGGGGAACUGCAGGGCAUACUGGCUUUCUUGAGGCAAGUAGGGGUACAUGGAACUCUGGGUGGAGCGGUGAAAUGCGUAGAUAUCCAGAGGAACGCCAGCGGAGAAAUCGGUGUACUGGGCUUGUUCUGACGCUGAGGUGCGAAAGCGUGGGUAGCGAACGGGAUUAGAUACCCCGGUAGUCCACGCCGUAAACGAUGCCUACUAGAUCGUGGGAGUUCUGACGCUCUCGCGGUCGAAGCAAAAGUGUUAAGUAGGCCGCCUGGGGAGUACGGCCGCAAGGCUAAAACUCAAAGGAAUUGACGGGGGCUCACACAAGCAGUGGAGCAUGUGGCUUAAUUCGAAGCAACGCGAAGAACCUUAUCCUGGGUUUGACUAUUACGGAUGCCCUUCCUGAAAGGGAAGUAAGCUGCCUUCGGGUGAAACGUAACCAGGUGCUGCAUGGCUGUCGUCAGCUCGUGUCGUGAGAUGUCGGGUUAAGUCCCUUAACGAGCGAAACCCUUAUCGUUAGUUGCCAGCGAGUAAUGUCGGGGACUCUAGCGAGACUGCCGGUGUUAAACCGGAGGAAGGCGGGGAUGACGUC